rnacentral:ribozyme from 14 species
ACAAAGAAGAAGAAGACAAAGAAUAAGAUAAAUCAGAGACAGAAAAAGCUAUCUCUUCUUCACCAUCGCCUCUCAUUUUUUCUCGCUUCUUUCUUUCUUUCUUUCUUUCUUCUUUGA